rnacentral:rRNA from 1 species
CCGAAUGGGGGGGUGCUUACCAUGCAAGUCGAACGAUGAACUGGAGCUUGCUCCAGGGAUUAGUGGCGAACGGGUGAGUAACACGUGAGUAACCUGCCCUUGACUCUGGGAUAAGCGCUGGAAACGGCGUCUAAUACCGGAUACGAGCUUCAGCCGCAUGGCUAGGAGUUGGAAAGAAUUUCGGUCAAGGAUGGACUCGCGGCCUAUCAGCUAGUUGGUGAGGUAAUGGCUCACCAAGGCGACGACGGGUAGCCGGCCUGAGAGGGUGACCGGCCACACUGGGACUGAGACACGGCCCAGACUCCUACGGGAGGCAGCAGUGGGGAAUAUUGCACAAUGGGCGCAAGCCUGAUGCAGCAACGCCGCGUGAGGGAUGACGGCCUUCGGGUUGUAAACCUCUUUUAGUAGGGAAGAAGCGAAAGUGACGGUACCUGCAGAAAAAGCACCGGCUAACUACGUGCCAGCAGCCGCGGUAAUACGUAGGGUGCAAGCGUUGUCCGGAAUUAUUGGGCGUAAAGAGCUCGUAGGCGGUUUGUCGCGUCUGCUGUGAAAUCUGGGGGCUCAACCCCCCAGGCCCUGCAGUGGGUACGGGCAGACUAGAGUGCGGUAGGGGAGAUUGGAAUUCCUGGUGUAGCGGUGGAAUGCGCAGAUAUCAGGAGGAACACCGAUGGGCGAAGGCAGAUCUCUGGGCCGUAACUGACGCUGAGGAGCGAAAGCAUGGGGAGCGAACAGGAUUAGAUACCCUGGUAGUCCAUGCCGUAAACGUUGGGAACUAGAUGUGGGGGCCAUUCCACGGUCUCCGUGUCGCAGCUAACGCAUUAAGUUCCCCGCCUGGGGAGUACGGCCGCAAGGCUAAAACUCAAAGGAAUUGACGGGGGCCCGCACAAGCGGCGGAGCAUGCGGAUUAAUUCGAUGCAACGCGAAGAACCUUACCAAGGCUUGACAUAUACCGGAAACGUCCAGAGAUGGUCGCCCCGCAAGGUCGGUAUACAGGUGGUGCAUGGUUGUCGUCAGCUCGUGUCGUGAGAUGUUGGGUUAAGUCCCGCAACGAGCGCAACCCUCGUUCUAUGUUGCCAGCACGUAAUGGUGGGAACUCAUAGGAGACUGCCGGGGUCAACUCGGAGGAAGGUGGGGAUGACGUCAAAUCAUCAUGCCCCUUAUGUCUUGGGCUUCACGCAUGCUACAAUGGCCGGUACAAAGGGCUGCGAUACCGUAAGGUGGAGCGAAUCCCAAAAAGCCGGUCUCAGUUCGGAUUGAGGUCUGCAACUCGACCUCAUGAAGUCGGAGUCGCUAGUAAUCGCAGAUCAGCAACGCUGCGGUGAAUACGUUCCCGGGCCUUGUACACACCGCCCGUCAAGUCAUGAAAGUCGGUAACACCCGAAGCCAGUGGCCUAACCCUUGUGGAUGGAGCGUACGUAUAGAAGCUAAUUCC